CAGCGUUGCGUUGCGUUGCAAUACCUUUUCGCUUUGAUUGCUUGCGGGUAGGUUAACGUACCUACAACAAGUGUUGUUGUCUCACCUUCGUCUGUUUUUUAUUGCUCUGUUGUUUUAGCGUUUUUAUUGCGUCCACACUUCUUUACCUGCUUUGACUUUUAAUUGAAUUUCUCGCAGAAAAUAUUCCGCUUUGCUGCUACUAAUGUCUGCUGCUUCUGUUGGUGCUCGCUUGCAGUGGCCGUUAAGUUUGUCGAGUCUGCAGUGGCGACUUUAUUGUUGCGAAACUUGGCGUGUGGUAAUUUGCCGCUAUAGUGAGUUCACCCUAUCGAGUGGUCUUAAAACUUUUUUUAGGUAAUUUUUGGCCAGUGCUAGUUUGAUGUGUGUGUGUACAUAAUAGGAGCACGAGCACUUCUCAACUGACUUUUGUAAGAAUCCGACAAGUUUUGCAGCAAUUUCUAUGCUACUUUUUCGUUUUUUGAACUUGUAUCAGUUUUGAAAACUUUUAUUUUACAAAAUAUCUUAACUUCUUACACUUUUAAGCGGUUAUUGUUGCCGCUGCUGCUGCCUUUUUGUGUGUUCCUUUUUAAUUUUUUAAUUUUAUUAAACUUAAGAGCAGCACAACAAUUUUGUUCAGAGCUAUUUAAGAGCACUCACUGCAAAACUUGUUCCACCACCUUGUCUGUCUGGCUGUGCGCGCGUAUGUGUGGCUGCUGCUGUAACUUUUUUGUUAUUUUUUCUUUGCUGCUUUGAAAUUUCCACUACAGUUGAAAUAUGUUGUUAGUUGGCUGACGCCGCCGCCACUGUUGCUUCUUCUUCUACUCUUGUUUGUUGCAAGGCAAACCACAAUUUAUUUCCACUUAAUUAUUUUGUGUAUGGUUUCUUUGCUUUUUGUGUGUUGACUGUCUUUUAUUGCUGUUGCUACUCCUUCUGCUGUCGUUGUUCAUUGCUGUGUUUUGAUUUUCUUUGCCUUUAUUAUCCUCUGCAUAAACUUUUGACUCUGAAUUUAUGCGAACUUUGGUUUAAUCCACUUAAAAAUUUUUCAGUUGUCACUUUCACACAUUUCGCACUUCGAUUGCAAUAAAAUUCUUUGUAAAUGCUUUGUUGUAAGUUGCUUCAAAAUUUAUUUUUUAAUGAAAUUUACACAUGUGUUUCAUAAAACAAAUUGCUGUUUAUUGCACCUUGUUAAAAAUGUUUUAUAAUUGCUAAUUUUUUAAUAAUUCGUCCUUUCUUUAGAAUUGUGUUUUAUUAAUUUGCUUUCAUAAAAUCAUUUAAGUCGUUGAAAAUUUCAAAAUAAUCCACGGCCUUUUGAAUUUUCACGCCUUUAUUAUUUUAUGUCUUGCAAAUGUUUGAUUUAUUUAAAAUUUAAUUGAUUUGUUAAUAUGAAAAAAUUUUUAUUGUAAAUUGAAUCUCUUUUAAUUGCUGUUAAUAUGUGCCCAUUCAUUUCACACAAACAAUUGCACCGAAUUUCUAAACAUAGUCACACGAAAUAAUUAAAAAGUUCUGCACAAAUCACUAAAGCGUAUCAGCUACCAAUUUCUCAUGCGAUUUUUAUUUGU